AUUACUUCUAUUCAUAAUGACGGCACACCAAGGAAUGUUUUUCCCUUAUGCCUCUGGGCGCAGGAUGGAUUCAGGAGAGCCAUACGGACACGUAGGGAGCUGCAGGGGUUAAGAGGGUUUAUCACUCCCCUUUCAUUAUUGUUUCCCCUCAGGUCCCUUUCUUUUAGACCAUUUACGCCAGCACAUCCAUUCCCAGCUUGAGUUUUGUGUGUUUUUUCAGCGCUGCUGCGCUAUCUAUUCCAUUUGCCUUCCAGCUAUCUUGUACUGGAAACCUUUCCAGCCUCCAAAAUGGCGCCGAUCGUUUUUGGACCGCCCACAGAGACCUUUUCCUUGAUCUCAUGUGUGCUGUCAUUACUUUUGGCUACAUUGGGAUCAGCUGAGCUUGUCAGCUGGGUGGAUUAUUUUCCUUCUGCUGACGCCCAGGUCAUGUGUCUGCACUGCGGCGCUUUGAUUGGUCAAUCAUCGCCGUGGUGGCAGAUUUAAAGCCCAAGCGCUGUGUUAGGCGCUCCAGCUGAGACCAGACCUAAUUAAUGCAAGGAAAGGCUGCUGUAUGCACAGCUAUCUAGGUGGCUCUGCCUUUUCAUCUUUGGACUUUGUCCUAAUCAGAGCGGAUGCCGCUUU